GCAGAUACUGCCAAGCUUGGGUGCACUGGGCCGGUUAUCCAGCCGUGUGGAAUCAACAUCUCCAGCUGAACUUGGGCCGGGAAUUAUAUAAGAAUCCUUAGCAGCAUGAGUGCCAGCCAGUCAUUGCUGUUCUUUGCAUUGCUGAGGAGGACAGUCCUGCCAACAUAACAGUUUGUUCAAUAACAGGAGACAAACAGAAACACAGAGG